CAAGCCGGGUCUACAAUAUUGUGUAUGAGGAACUCGGCUGAGCUUUGGGGAUAAAACACUGCAGAGACGGAGGCCUUCCGGGAGCUGAUGUACAGAGUGGGGGGCAAGCACAAUAAAGACAUGAACAUCUCACAGUAUAGUAAGAGCCAGAGCAGGAGGUGAGCAUGGGGUGGGAGCCCACACAGCCGACUCUGCUAGGGGAGACCAGGGAACACUUCUGUGCUGAUUGGGGUUGUUGGUCUACUACCACGGUUCUCUUGAGAUGGAAUGGAUGGCUACCUGACAGGCAUCUUACAAACUCCAUGCAAAUGACACUUGCAAGCAACAUACCAAGUGGAUCAGUUUCCUGGGGCUGCCAUACCAAUUACCACCAACUGGGCGGUGUAAAACAACAGAGACGCAUUAUCUCACUGUUCUAGAGGCCAGAAGGCUGAAGCCACGGUGCCUGCAGAGGCUUUACCAUCUGGAGCCUCCAGCUCUUCCUGCCCUUGGCUGGGGGCUCAACCAGGGGACCUUCAAAGCCAUUUCCCUUGAGAUACUUACAUGCAACUUCAAUGGGCAGGUUAGUGUCAAUAUCUCUUAUUUGCCACUGUGUAUUUCGGCAAUCACAAGGUGUUACUGAGUGGCAAAUUCAAAUGCAUAUUGUCCUUAAUUUGAGGUUAAUUAUAUAUAACAUUUCAAAGGAGGUAAUCUCAUUAAUUUUGAUUUGCUUCUAACAGUAUUAAAGCACACACUGGAAGACUGACUCGAUUAAAACGGAGCACAUGGGGGGAGACGUCGGGCUCUUCCGAGAUUGUUACGUGCAUUUUAUUAGCCACAGCGAGCCAAGAAGGACGCUGGUGAAACUUCUCCAAAAGCCACAGCCUGCAUAACUGAAGCCACCUGGCCAUCAGGCAGCCCUGCUCACUGUGCACGCUCCCAGUUCCCUGCCUGAUAUAUAUCAGAAGCUUCCUAGACAUUCAUGGAUGAAUAAAGGAAUGAAUGGGAAAUCCCAGCGGGGCAGUCCUGGCAGGAUAUAAAAGGGAACUGGGAUGAUCUGUGUCAUUCUUUCAUGCAUUGAUUCAACCAAAAUAAAAGCACAGACACUGUUUACAUGCCAGGUACAGUGUGAGAGAAUCACAGCCCAUUCCCUGGAGAAGGUCACAGUCUAAAAGGAAGGUGCCCAAGCACCCUGCUCGGUGUGAGUCCUGCAUUGUGUUUGCAAAUCCUGUGACUCUAUAAUUAUUUAAAUAUAAGAGGUUUUUAAAAAACCUAUAUAUGCUCUUUGUAGAAGGUUAGAGGAACACAAACAAUGGCAAAGAAAAUAAAAAUCACCGGUAAUCACAUAGCUCAUUUCCCUAAUUUUCUAGCACAUUGGUGCUUAUUUUCUGUUCAGGGAUGUUGACUCAGUACAGAUAGAUAAGUGAACACAGAAUGCCUCUCCAGUAGCUGGGAUUACAGGCAGACGCUAUCAUCUGUCACGUACACAUUUUUGUAUCUGCCUAACGUUCAGGAACCCCUGUCCCUUUCUGCCAACAGUGGCUCUAAAACUAUGCUUCCUUGUGGCUGUGUAAAGAGGCAUCCUGCAGCUGUCCAACCACCCAACACCAUUUAUUAAAGGCCGACCGUGUGCCAGGCACCCCCUGCAGACAAAACCCUGCUUCUGUGGAGCUCACAUGAAGAACACGGGAUGCGAAUGUCAGAGCAUAAGCAGGGCAGGUUCAGGUGCAGGUAAUAAAAUGGGCACCCCAGUGGGGAUAACGAGGCAACACUGGGCAGGUGGUCAGGGAAGACCCCUCGAGGGGUUGCUGAGGCUGC
rnacentral:lncRNA from 1 species